GCCAGGCAUGGUGCCACAUGCCUGUAAUCCCAGUGGCUUGGGAAGCUGAGGCAGGAGAAUCUCGAGUUCAAAGCCAGCCUCAGCAACAGUGAGGCAUCUCGGUGAGACCCUGUCUCUA
rnacentral:sRNA from 1 species